AACGAACGCUGGCGGCAUGCCUAACACAUGCAAGUCGAACGAGACCUUCGGGUCUAGUGGCGCACGGGUGCGUAACGCGUUGGAACCUGCCCUUAGGUUCGGAAUAACUCCCCGAAAGGGGUGCUAAUACCGGAUAAUGUCUUCGGACCAAAGAUUUAUCGCCUUUGGAUGGGCCCGCGUUGGAUUAGCUAGUUGGUAGGGUAAAAGCCUACCAAGGCGACGAUCCAUAGCUGGUCUGAGAGGAUGAUCAGCCACACUGGGACUGAGACACGGCCCAGACUCCUACGGGAGGCAGCAGUGGGGAAUAUUGGACAAUGGGCGAAAGCCUGAUGCAGCAAUGCCGCGUGAGUGAUGAAGGCCUUAGGGUUGUAAAGCUCUUUUAUACGGGAUGAUAAUGACAGUAACGGGAGAAUAAGCGCCGGCUAACUACGUG
rnacentral:rRNA from 1 species